rnacentral:lncRNA from 1 species
AGAGGACUCAGCCUUGAAGUAUGGUUUGAUCUGUGUCACUUCCAUUGACUGCAUGCACACAUAGUCGUUCUUAAUUCUCAUGGGAUUCUUGGCGGAGCAAAAUCAUCUUCUCAGAAGAGACAAGCGCCACCUACUGGUAGACCCCCAAACUCUUCCUCCUCCCCGGCUUAUUUUUAACCAGCAAUUUGGAUGAUGGCUACAGGUUCUUUUCAUGUUUUUGUCUUCAGUGUCUUCCAAACAUUUCAUGAAGUAACAGUCGAAAGUAUUGAGAAAGGGGGAAAAUAGGGAUAUUUUCAGUUCAAAAUGUUGACUGUUAGAAGAAAAUGAUUGAUUUAAUCGAUAGAUUAAAAAAAUUGAAGCCUUUAAAAAAUUAUUCUAACACCCAGAAAAGAUACCACAUCAACAAGACUUUUACAUUUAAGACCCAACUCUGUGGAACAUGGUGGCAUUCAUCUGUAAUCCCAGCGACUGGGGAGGAAGGCCUGGUUGAGCAAGAGAAGCACAAGUUCAAGUCCAGCUUGGUCAACUUAGGGAGCCUCUAUUGCAAAAUUUCUUUUAAAAAAAAAAUUAAAAGAUUGAGAGAUGUAGCCUAGGUACAGAAUGUCCCUGAGAUCAAUCCUCAGGUGGGAGGAGGGGACCUUAUAAGUCUUGCUUGAAAUGUGGAGUUCUGGACAAUUUCAUAAAAACCAAAAUUAUUAAGAAUUAAGAAUGGGAGACAGAUUUGGGGGUGAUUGUUCCCCACAUGCAUCUCUGGAAAUCAGCAAGAAUUCUCUUUUGAAUUCUCUUUGAGAGAAUUCAACAUAGACUGAAG